AGAGUUUGUAUCCUGGCUCAGGAUGAACGCCGGCGGUGUGCCUAAUACAUGCAAGUCGUACGCGUUGGCCCAACUAAUUUGAAGUGCUUGCACGGAUCUGACGUUGGUUUACCAACGAGUGGCGGACGGGUGAGUAACACGUAGGUAACCUGCCCAGAAGCGGGGGACAACACUUGGAAACAGGUGCUAAUACCGCAUAACAAUUCAAAUCGCAUGAUUUGAAUUUGAAAGAUGGUUUCGGCUAUCACUUCUGGAUGGACCUGCGGCGCAUUAGCUUGUUGGUGGGGUAACGGCCUACCAAGGCAGUGAUGCGUAGCCGAGUUGAGAGACUGAUCGGCCACAAUGGGACUGAGACACGGCCCAUACUCCUACGGGAGGCAGCAGUAGGGAAUCUUCCACAAUGGGCGCAAGCCUGAUGGAGCAACACCGCGUGAGUGAAGAAGGUUUUCGGAUCGUAAAGCUCUGUUGUUGAAGAAGAACGUGCAUGAGAGUAACUGUUCAUGCAGUGACGGUAUUCAACCAGAAAGUCACGGCUAACUACGUGCCAGCAGCCGCGGUAAUACGUAGGUGGCAAGCGUUAUCCGGAUUUAUUGGGCGUAAAGAGGGUGCAGGCGGUUUCUUAAGUCUGAUGUGAAAGCCUUCGGCUUAACCGAAGAAGUGCAUCAGAUACUGGGAAACUUGAGUGCAGAAGAGGAAAGUGGAACUCCAUGUGUAGCGGUGAAAUGCGUAGAUAUAUGGAAGAACACCAGUGGCGAAGGCGGCUUUCUGGUCUGUAACUGACGCUGAGGCUCGAAAGUAUGGGGAGCGAACAGGAUUAGAUACCCUGGUAGUCCAUACCGUAAACGAUGAAUGCU
rnacentral:rRNA from 1 species